AUUGAACGCUGGCGGCAGGCCUAACACAUGCAAGUCGAACGAGUGGCGGACGGGUGAGUAAUGUCUGGGAAACUGCCUGAUGGAGGGGGAUAACUACUGGACACGGUAGCUAAUACCCCAUACCAUCAGAUGUGCCCAGAUUGGAUUAGCGAGUUGGUGGGGUAAAGGCUCACCAAGGCGACGAUCCCUAGCUGGUCUGAGAGGAUGACCAGCCACACUGGAACGUAGACACUGCCCAGACGCCUACGGGAGGCAGCAGUGGGGAAUAUUGCACAAUUGGCGCAAGCCUGAUGCAGCCAGGCCGCGUGUAUGAAGAAGGCCUUCGGGUUGUAAAGUACUUUCAGCGGGAAGGCGUUACCCGCAGAAGAAGCACCGGCUAACUCCGUGCCAGCAGCCGCGGUAAUUC
rnacentral:rRNA from 1 species